GUUCAAUCUUCAGGCAUAGCAAGGAUUUUGUGCUCUCCUGGGACAGUCAUAACACGUGAGAAGUAUACUUACCUUUUGCUGAGCAGUCGUUGAUACAGAAACUUCAGGGGGUGACAUCUAAACCGAGCCCUGGUAGUCUCAAGAAGAACCCAAAAGAUCAUUUUCAGGUGUUUGGAGAGUGGAUCCGUGAAAGACAGAUGUAGUACUACUUGGAUAACCUGCCAAUCACAUGG